rnacentral:tRNA from 1 species
GUUUUAAUAAUUUAUAUAAAAUAUUGGUUUUGUAAACCAAAAAUAAGAAUUUAACUUUUAAAACU